rnacentral:rRNA from 1 species
CCUACGGGGGGCAGCAGUAGGGAAUAUUGCUCAAUGUGGGAAACCCUGAAGCAGCAACGCCGCGUGGAGGAUGAAGGUUUUAGGAUUGUAAACUCCUUUUGGGAGAGAAGAUAAUGACGGUAUCACACGAAUAAGAACCGGCUAACUCCGUACCAGCAGCCGCGGCAAUACGGAGGGUGCAAGCGUUACACGGAAUCACUGGGCGUAAAGAGUGCGCAGGCGGGAUUGUAAGUCAGAUGGGAAAUCCUGGGGCUUAACUACAGACCUGCAUUUGAAACUGUGGGUCUUGAGUGUGGGAGAGGUAGGUGGAAUUCUUAGUGUAGCGGUGAAAUCCGUAGAUAUCAAGAGGAAUACUCAUUGCGAAGGCGACCUACUGGAACAUUACUGACGCUCAUGCACGAAAGCGUGGGGAGCAAACAGGAUUAGAUACCCUAGUAGUC